GACGAACGCUGGCGGCGUGCUUAACACAUGCAAGUCGAACGGAAAGGCCCUGCUUGCAGGGUACUCGAGUGGCGAACGGGUGAGUAACACGUGGGUGAUCUGCCCUGCACUUCGGGAUAAGCCUGGGAAACUGGGUCUAAUACCGGAUAUGACCUUCCAUGUAGUGUGGGGGGUGGAAAGAUUUAUCGGUGUGGGAUGAGCCCGCGGCCUAUCAGCUUGUUGGUGGGGUAAUGGCCUACCAAGGCGUCGACGGGUAGCCGGACUGAGAGGGUGGACGGCCACAUUGGGACUGAGAUGCGGCCCAGACUCCUACGGUAGGCAGCAGUGGGGAAUAUUGCACAAUGGGCGGAAGCCUGAUGCAGCGACGCCGCGUGGGGGAUGACGGCCUUCGGGUUGUAGACCUCUUUCGACAGGGACGAAGCUUCGGUGACGGUACCUUUAUAAGAAGCACCGGCUAACUACGUG
rnacentral:rRNA from 1 species